rnacentral:rRNA from 1 species
CAUAGGUUAAUGAGGCGAACCGGGGGAACUGAAACAUCUAAGUACCCCGAGGAAAAGAAAUCAACCGAGAUUCCCCCAGUAGCGGCGAGCGAACGGGGAGGAGCCCAGAGCCUGAAUCAGUGUGUGUGUUAGUGGAAGCGUCUGGAAAGGCGCGCGAUACAGGGUGACAGCCCCGUACACAAAAAUGCACAUAUUGUGAGCUCGAUGAGUAGGGCGGGACACGUGGUAUCCUGUCUGAAUAUGGGGGGACCAUCCUCCAAGGCUAAAUACUCCUGACUGACCGAUAGUGAACCAGUACCGUGAGGGAAAGGCGAAAAGAACCCCGGCGAGGGGAGUGAAAAAGAACCUGAAACCGUGUACGUACAAGCAGUGGGAGCCUCUUUAUGGGGUGACUGCGUACCUUUUGUAUAAUGGGUCAGCGACUUAUAUUCUGUAGCAAGGUUAACCGAAUAGGGGAGCCGAAGGGAAACCGAGUCUUAACUGGGCGUUAAGUUGCAGGGUAUAGACCCGAAACCCGGUGAUCUAGCCAUGGGCAGGUUGAAGGUUGGGUAACACUAACUGGAGGACCGAACCGACUAAUGUUGAAAAAUUAGCGGAUGACUUGUGGCUGGGGGUGAAAGGCCAAUCAAACCGGGAGAUAGCUGGUUCUCCCCGAAAGCUAUUUAGGUAGCGCCUCGUGAAUUCAUCUCCGGGGGUAGAGCACUGUUUCGGCAAGGGGGUCAUCCCGACUUACCAACCCGAUGCAAACUGCGAAUACCGGAGAAUGUUAUCACGGGAGACACACGGCGGGUGCUAACGUCCGUCGUGAAGAGGGAAACAACCCAGACCGCCAGCUAAGGUCCCAAAGUCAUGGUUAAGUGGGAAACGAUGUGGGAAGGCCCAGACAGCCAGGAUGUUGGCUUAGAAGCAGCCAUCAUUUAAAGAAAGCGUAAUAGCUCACUGGUCGAGUCGGCCUGCGCGGAAGAUGUAACGGGGCUAAACCAUGCACCGAAGCUGCGGCAGCGACACUAUGUGUUGUUGGGUAGGGGAGCGUUCUGUAAGCCUGUGAAGGUGGCCUGUGAGGGUUGCUGGAGGUAUCAGAAGUGCGAAUGCUGACAUAAGUAACGAUAAAGCGGGUGAAAAGCCCGCUCGCCGGAAGACCAAGGGUUCCUGUCCAACGUUAAUCGGGGCAGGGUGAGUCGACCCCUAAGGCGAGGCCGAAAGGCGUAGUCGAUGGGAAACAGGUUAAUAUUCCUGUACUUGGUGUUACUGCGAAGGGGGGACGGAGAAGGCUAUGUUGGCCGGGCGACGGUUGUCCCGGUUUAAGCGUGUAGGCUGGUUUUCCAGGCAAAUCCGGAAAACCAAGGCUGAGGCGUGAUGACGAGGCACUACGGUGCUGAAGCGACAAAUGCCCUGCUUCCAGGAAAAGCCUCUAAGCAUCAGGUAACAUCAAAUCGUACCCCAAACCGACACAGGUGGUCAGGUAGAGAAUACCAAGGCGCUUGAGAGAACUCGGGUGAAGGAACUAGGCAAAAUGGUGCCGUAACUUCGGGAGAAGGCACGCUGAUAUGUAGGUGAAGCGACUUGCUCGUGGAGCUGAAAUCAGUCGAAGAUACCAGCUGGCUGCAACUGUUUAUUAAAAACACAGCACUGUGCAAACACGAAAGUGGACGUAUACGGUGUGACGCCUGCCCGGUGCCGGAAGGUUAAUUGAUGGGGUUAGCGGUAACGCGAAGCUCUUGAUCGAAGCCCCGGUAAACGGCGGCCGUAACUAUAACGGUCCUAAGGUAGCGAAAUUCCUUGUCGGGUAAGUUCCGACCUGCACGAAUGGCGUAAUGAUGGCCAGGCUGUCUCCACCCGAGACUCAGUGAAAUUGAACUCGCUGUGAAGAUGCAGUGUACCCGCGGCAAGACGGAAAGACCCCGUGAACCUUUACUAUAGCUUGACACUGAACAUUGAGCCUUGAUGUGUAGGAUAGGUGGGAGGCUUUGAAGUGUGGACGCCAGUCUGCAUGGAGCCGACCUUGAAAUACCACCCUUUAAUGUUUGAUGUUCUAACGUUGGCCCGUAAUCCGGGUUGCGGACAGUGUCUGGUGGGUAGUUUGACUGGGGCGGUCUCCUCCUAAAGAGUAACGGAGGAGCACGAAGGUUGGCUAAUCCUGGUCGGACAUCAGGAGGUUAGUGCAAUGGCAUAAGCCAGCUUGACUGCGAGCGUGACGGCGCGAGCAGGUGCGAAAGCAGGUCAUAGUGAUCCGGUGGUUCUGAAUGGAAGGGCCAUCGCUCAACGGAUAAAAGGUACUCCGGGGAUAACAGGCUGAUACCGCCCAAGAGUUCAUAUCGACGGCGGUGUUUGGCACCUCGAUGUCGGCUCAUCACAUCCUGGGGCUGAAGUAGGUCCCAAGGGUAUGGCUGUUCGCCAUUUAAAGUGGUACGCGAGCUGGGUUUAGAACGUCGUGAGACAGUUCGGUCCCUAUCUGCCGUGGGCGCUGGAGAACUGAGGGGGGCUGCUCCUAGUACGAGAGGACCGGAGUGGACGCAUCACUGGUGUUCGGGUUGUCAUGCCAAUGGCACUGCCCGGUAGCUAAAUGCGGAAGAGAUAAGUGCUGAAAGCAUCUAAGCACGAAACUUGCCCCGAGAUGAGUUCUCCCUGAGACUUAGAGUCUCCUGAAGGAACGUUGAAGACGACGACGUUGAUAGGCCGGGUGUGUAAGCGCAGCGAUGCGUUGAGCUAACCGGUACUAAUGAACCGUGAGG